AAGGUUCGCAACAUUCAGUUUUACAUGAUCCAUCAAAAGAAGAAUUAAAACAAAUUGAUGGUCACUUGAAUGAUCAAGAUCUUGUGUACAAGACUUCCUGGGUAAAAAUCCUUGGAACACUCUACAAAAUUGGGGCAAUUAUCCAUGUGGGCUUCAACAAUUUUCUGCCUGUUUUUGCUGAGAUUAAAUCAAUCCAUGUUUUAAACUCAUCAAUUGAAAGGGUGUAUUUUGCUGCUGAAAUUUUGUACACAAAAGAGUUUUGUGAGCAUUACCGUACCUAUGUUGUAAACAGAGCAGUACAUCCUGAAAUUCAGUUUUACCCACAAAGAUCGUUGCAGUACUAUCUCCCACUUCACUUUCUGAAUCCUGUCUGUUCACAUAACCAGACACAUGUUUGGCCUAAAUGUGAUAUUCACAAUUACAAUUAAUACCAAUAUUUACUGAUUUAAAAGAUGCAGUGCGUAUGUUCAUAAUAAAUAUCAUCACAUUGUGAAAUGUUGCCUAUCAAAAAUUUUUUGAGAACUAAAAUAUCAUAUCUUUGUCAUAAUAUGUGAUUUAGUUUGUUCAAAAGCAAUUAAAACUGCUAAAAUGCAAAAAA